rnacentral:rRNA from 1 species
ACCAUGCAAGUCGAACGAUGAUGCCCAGCUUGCUGGGUGGAUUAGUGGCGAACGGGUGAGUAACACGUGAGUAACCUGCCCCUGACUCUGGGAUAAGCGUUGGAAACGACGUCUAAUACUGGAUAUGACUGCCGGCCGCAUGGUCUGGUGGUGGAAAGAUUUUUUGGUUGGGGAUGGACUCGCGGCCUAUCAGCUUGUUGGUGAGGUAAUGGCUCACCAAGGCGACGACGGGUAGCCGGCCUGAGAGGGUGACCGGCCACACUGGGACUGAGACACGGCCCAGACUCCUACGGGAGGCAGCAGUGGGGAAUAUUGCACAAUGGGCGAAAGCCUGAUGCAGCAACGCCGCGUGAGGGAUGACGGCCUUCGGGUUGUAAACCUCUUUUAGUAGGGAAGAAGCGUAAGUGACGGUACCUGCAGAAAAAGCACCGGCUAACUACGUGCCAGCAGCCGCGGUAAUACGUAGGGUGCAAGCGUUGUCCGGAAUUAUUGGGCGUAAAGAGCUCGUAGGCGGUUUGUCGCGUCUGCUGUGAAAUCCCGAGGCUCAACCUCGGGCUUGCAGUGGGUACGGGCAGACUAGAGUGCGGUAGGGGAGAUUGGAAUUCCUGGUGUAGCGGUGGAAUGCGCAGAUAUCAGGAGGAACACCGAUGGCGAAGGCAGAUCUCUGGGCCGUAACUGACGCUGAGGAGCGAAAGCGUGGGGAGCGAACAGGAUUAGAUA